AACAGAAAAAAGAAGCCAAUUGUGUCAGUGGUGCUGCCUUUUAUGACUCUGGUGCACUAAGUUGUGAUUAUGCUUAAACACUUACUUAAACGCUGGUGCUAUUGGUAGUGGUUUCGGUUGUUAUGGUCUUAGUCGUGGUACUUUCUAGAGUUGCGGUGCCAGCUGUUGUGCUCUCAGUUGUUGUGGUGCCAGUUGUGGUGCUUUCUGGAGUUGUGGUGCCAGUUGUGGUGCUUUCAGUUGUUGUGGUCUCAGUUGUGGUGCUUUCUGGAGUUGUGGUGCCAGUUGUGGUGCUUUCUGGAGUUGUGGUGCCAGUUGUGGUGCUUUCUGGAGUUGUGGUCUCAGUUGUGGUACUUUCUGGAGUUGUGGUGCCAGUUGUGGUGCUUUCAGUUGUUGUGGUGCCAGUUGUGGUGCUUUCAGUUGUUGUGGUCUCAGUUGUGGUGCUUUCUGGAGUUGUGGUGCCAGUUGUGGUGCUUUCGGUUGUUGUUGUGCCAGUUGUGGUGCUUUCGGUUGUUGUGGUCUCAGUUGUGGUACUUUCUGGAGUUGUGGUGCCAGUUGUGGUGCUUUCGGUUGUUGUGGUGCCAGUUGUGGUGCUUUCGGUUGUUGUGGUCUCAGUUGUGGUACUUUCUGGAGUUGCUUUCGGUUGUUGUGGUGCCAGUUGUGGUGCUUUCUGGAGUUGUGGUGCCAGUUGUGGUGCUUUCGGUUGUUGUGGUGCCAGUUGUGGUGCUUUCGGUUGUUGUGGUGCCAGUUGUGGUGCUUUCUGUUGUUGUGGUGGAGUUGUGGUGCCAGUUGUGGUGCUUUCUGUUGUUGUGGUCUCAGUUGUGGUGCUUUCUGGAGUUGUGGUGCCAGUUGUGGUGCUUUCGGUUGUUGUGGUCUCAGUUGUGGUACUUUCUGGAGUUGUGGUGCCAGUUGUGGUGCUUUCGGUUGUUGUGGUCUCAGUUGUGGUACUUUCUGGAGUUGUGGUGCUUUCGGUUGUUGUGGUGCCAGUUGUGGUGCUUUCAGUUGUUGUGGUCUCAGUUGUGGUGCUUUCUGGAGUUGUGGUGCCAGUUGUGGUGCUUUCGGUUGUUGUGGUGCUUUCGGUUGUUGUGGUGCCAGUUGUGGUGCUUUCUGGAGUUGUGGUGCCAGUUGUGGUGCUUUCGGUUGUUGUGGUCUCAGUUGUGGUACUUUCUGGAGUUGUGGUGCCAGUUGUGGUGCUUUCUGUUGUUGUGGUCUCAGUUGUGGUGCUUUCUGGAGUUGUGGUGCCAGUUGUGGUGCUUUCGGUUGUUGUGGUCUCAGUCGUGGUACUUUCUAGAGUUGUGGUGCCAGUUGUGGUGCUUUCGGUUGUUGUGGUGCCAGUUGUGGUGCUUUCGGUUGUUGUGGUUUCAGUUGUUUUACUUUCUGGAGUUGUGGUGCCAGUUGUGGUGCUUUCGGUUGUUGUGGUCUCAGUUGUGGUACUUUCUGGAGUUUUGGUGCCAGUUGUGAUGCUUUCGGUUGUUGUGGUCUCAGUUGUGGUGCUUUCUGUUGUUGUAGUUUCAGUUGUGGUGCUUUCUGGAGUUGUGGUGCCAGUUGUGGUGCUUUCGGUUGUUGUGGUGCCUGUUGUGGUGCUUUCUGGAGUUGUGGUGCCAGUUGUGGUGCUUUCUGUUGUUGUGGUCUCAGUUGUGGUGCUUUCUGGAGUUGUGGUGUCAGUUGUGGUGCUUUCGGUUGUUGUGGUGUCAGUUGUGGUACUUGCUGGAGUUGUGGUGCCAGUUGUGGUGCUUUCGGUUGUUGUGGUGCCAGUUGUAGUGCUUUCGGUUGUUGUGGUGCCAGUUGUGGUGCUUUCUGGAGUUGUGGUGUCAGUUGUGGUGCUUUCGGUUGUUGUGGUCUCAGUUGUGGUACUUUCUGGAGUUGUGGUGCCAGUUGUGGUGCUUUCUGUUGUUGUGGUUUCAGUUGUGGUGCUUUCUGGAGUUGUGGUGCCAGUUGUGGUGCUUUCGGUUGUUGUGGUCUCAGUUGUGGUGCUUUCUGGAGUUGUGGUGCCAGUUGUGGUGCUUUCGGUUGUUGUGGUCUCAUUUGUGGUGCUUUCUGGAGUUGUGGUGCCAGUUGUGGUGCUUUCGGUUGUUGUGGUGCCAGUUGUGGUGGUUUCGGUUGUUGUGGUGCCAGUUGUGGUGCUUUCGGUUGUUGUGGUCUCUGUUGUGGUACUUUCUGGAGUUGUGGUGCCAGUUGUGGUGCUUUCGGUUGUUGUGGUCUCAGUUGUGGUACUUUCUGGAGUUGUAGUGCCAGUUGUGGUGCUUUCGGUUGUUGUGGUGCUUUCGGUUGUUGUGGUCUCAGUUGUGGUACUUCCUGGAGUUGUGGUGCCAGUUGUGGUGCUUUCGGUUGUUGUGGUCUCAGUUGUGGUGCUUUCUGGAGUUGUGGUGCCUGUUGUGGUGAUUUCUGUUGUUGUGGUCUCAGUUGUGGUGCUUUCUGGAGUUGUGGUGCCAGUUGUGGUGCUUUCGGUUGUUGUGGUCUCAGUUGUGGUGCUUUCUGGAGUUGUGGUGCCAGUUGUGGUGCUUUCGGUUGUUGUGGUCUCAGUAAUACACAACGGCGACAUUAUGACGUGCAUUGUGUGUGUGUGUUGUGAUAUUUUAGUGCAGGCCUAA
ensembl:lincRNA